GACCAUCUGGUCUUCCCACACAACUACAGUAAUCUCUUUUGUAAACAGUACUCAAUGCAGUCACAAUGCAAACAACACACAAUCAUACCAGUAACUUGGCUAAUGCAUUUUAAACAGUAGAAAUGCAAUUGUUACGCACUUAUUCAAAAUGUUAGGGAAGUUGUAAAGCAGGCUGUUGCUCUCUGCACUGGAAAUAUAUUUUCUUAAUGACUGUCACAUCAAUACCACUGACAGCUUUUGAAGGACAAUAACAGGGAAGUAAAAACUAAUGAAAUAACAAAAGGAAAUAACAUAAAAUGCUAUGUAACUUAUACAAAAGAUAAUAAAAUGAGGGAUAAAAACUUGUAGAAA